UCAGCAGGCCGCGGUAAUACGAAGGGACCUAGCGUAGUUCGGAAUUACUGGGCGUAAAGAGUAUGUAGGCGGCUAGAUAAGUUAAUUGUGAAAGCCCAAAGCUUAACUUUGGAAUUGCAAUUAAAACUAUUUAGCUGGAGUAUGAUAGAGGAAAGCGGAAUACAUAGUGUAGAGGUGAAAUUCGUAGAUAUUAUGUAGAACACCAGUUGCGAAGGCGGCUUUCUGGAUCAUUACUGACGCUGAGAUACGAAAGUAUGGGUAGCGAAGAGGAUUAGAUACCCUCGUAGUCCAUACCAUAAACGAUGAUUAUUAGAUGUGGGGAAUUAUUUCUCUGUAUCAUAGCUAACGCGUUAAAUAAUCCGCCUGGGGAGUACGACCGCAAGGUUAAAACUCAAAGGAAUUUGACGG
rnacentral:rRNA from 1 species